CUCCGUAGGUGAACCUGCGGAGGGAUCAUUACCGAGUUUACAACUCCCAAACCCAAUGUGAACCAUACCAAACUGUUGCCUCGGCGGGGUCACGCCCCGGGUGCGUCGCAGCCCCGGAACCAGGCGCCCGCCGGAGGGACCAACCAAACUCUUUUCUGUAGUCCCCUCGCGGACGUUAUUUCUUACAGCUCUGAGCAAAAAUUCAAAAUGAAUCAAAACUUUCAACAACGGAUCUCUUGGUUCUGGCAUCGAUGAAGAACGCAGCGAAAUGCGAUAAGUAAUGUGAAUUGCAGAAUUCAGUGAAUCAUCGAAUCUUUGAACGCACAUUGCGCCCGCCAGUAUUCUGGCGGGCAUGCCUGUCCGAGCGUCAUUUCAACCCUCGAACCCCUCCGGGGGGUCGGCGUUGGGGACCUCGGGAGCCCCUAAGACGGGAUCCCGGCCCCGAAAUACAGUGGCGGUCUCGCCGCAGCCUCUCCUGCGCAGUAGUUUGCACAACUCGCACCGGGAGCGCGGCGCGUCCACGUCCGUAAAACACCCAACUUCUGAAAUGUUGACCUCGGAUCAGGGUAGGAAUCCCCGAAUU
rnacentral:rRNA from 1 species